rnacentral:rRNA from 1 species
UACGGAGGGGGCUAGCGUUGUUCGGAAUUACUGGGCGUAAAGCGCACGUAGGCGGCUUUGUAAGUUGGAGGUGAAAGCCCGGGGCUCAACUCCGGAAUUGCCUUUAAGACUGCAUCGCUAGAAUUGUGGAGAGGUAAGUGGAAUUCCGAGUGUAGAGGUGAAAUUCGUAGAUAUUCGGAAAGAACACCAGUGGCGAAGGCGACUUACUGGACACAUAUUGACGCUGAGGUGCGAAAGCGUGGGGAGCAAACAGG